rnacentral:rRNA from 1 species
AUUAAACGCUGGCGGCAUGCCUUACACAUGCAAGUCGAACGGUAGCGCGGGGCAACCUGGCGACGAGUGGCGAACGGGUGAGUAAAGCAUCGGAACGUGCCCUGGAAUGGGGGAUAACGUAGCGAAAGUUACGCUAAUACCGCAUAUUCUGUGAGCAGGAAAGCAGGGGAUCGCAAGACCUUGCGUUCUGGGAGCGGCCGAUGUCGGAUUAGCUAGUUGGUGGGGUAAAAGCCUACCAAGGCGACGAUCCGUAGCGGGUCUGAGAGGAUGAUCCGCCACACUGGGACUGAGACACGGCCCAGACUCCUACGGGAGGCAGCAGUGGGGAAUUUUUGGACAAUGGGCGGAAGCCUGAUCCAGCCAUGCCGCGUGAGUGAAGAAGGCCUUCGGGUUGUU